rnacentral:lncRNA from 1 species
GGGAGGCAGCACACUGGGGUCAGGAGUGGAGAUACUUAGGCUCCCCAGAGAAAUUAGUCACAAGUCUUAUCCCUUCAUCUCCAUUUACAGCCAUUUAUUUGGGAGCAACAUACUUUAAAUGAGUGAUAAACAAAAUGUCUCCCCACAGCCCCCACCCCAGCAUGUGUUCUGAAGUUCACAGGAAGGCUUCUCCUCAUUUGCUUUGGGGCCCGCAGGCUGCCUGCUAACAGCUGGGUCUUCCCAUGAACAAAUUAGACAGUUAAUGUUCCAGGAUGAAGAGGGCUUCGGGGAACAGAAUCUGCCGUUUAUUUGACUUGCUUCAUUAGACACAGUGCCAUCAUACCAAAAUUAGAAAAAAGAAGGAACUCAGCGGAAAUCAGCUACACAAGAAGAACCUCUCAGUUCUGAGAAUUCACAUUAACCAGUGAUUAAGAAAUAUUAAAAAGGGCUGAUAGUCCACUACGUUAUCAAGUUCAAAGCCUAAGAAAUAUUGAACAUUUCCACACAUGAAUGUGGGUACUAUGUUUAAUUUGAGAAUGGCCAACUGUCCUCGAAGUCUCAAUCUCUUUGGAGCCUACCAGCUCCGAGAGAAGUUUGAGGAUGCUGCAAAACCCUCCCCUGCAAAUCCAUCUACUCCUCCCACUUCUAUCCUAAUGGGUAUAGUUCUUGGCUGUGCUGAGGAUCUGUAAGGCACCAGAUGUGAAAGUAAGGAAGAAAGAUGGAUGUGGAAGAAAGUCACUGCCCAGAGAAUAAGGAGACCUGGAUUCUAAUCUCAGCUCUGCCAUUAACUAGCUGUGAGACUCAAGAAUAACUAAUCAUUUUGAUAACUCGUUUUUUUACUUUUUAAAAUGAGGAGCCAAGUUUAGACAAUGAGCUCGGCUCUUCACCAGUGAUAAAGUGUCUGGGACAUGCUUCCAUUCAAGCAAUGCUCUUCCUUCUUGUCUAUACUUUAUCCAAGAAAGAAUAAAUCAUUUCCAAAUAUUUUCAAAGAUGAAACUAUGGCUCAAAAGGGAAUAAGAGAUCAAGGCAAGCAUGGACAUCUUGUACGUGGAAGUGCAGACCAGAACUUGUAUCACAGCCAGUCAUAUCUGGUGCUUUCCAUGCUACUUUUACAUACAUGUAUCCUUAAAUUUGAUCCUCUUCUAGUUUAGUCUAAACUCUUUACUUUGUAACUUCCAAACCUAAAAGGUGCAGCAGACAUUGACAAUCUUAAUUCAUUUGUCAGGUCAUUUGGUUUCUUGGUUUCCUAAGGGACUGUAUCCUUCCUGCCCUGCUAAUGGGGAGACUUUUUGUUUUUUGUUUUCUGUUUUCCUUAAUAAGUGAGGCCAAGUGCUGUGUGUAACUGUGGGGUGGGCAAAAUUAGGAUUCCUGAAUCACUUCACUUUUUGUUGCCUUUCUCUUGGGAGAAUGGUUACCAUUGCAGAGAAGCAUAGUUAAAAUUGCUUUUGUGUUUCAUAAACGAAUUCAUACUUAGAUGUCAUUGACCAACAACUAAAUAGUAUAUCAGAGAUGAAAGGCAUCCUAGAGAUGACCAAAUCAAGCUCUUCAUUACUCAAAGGAGAAAAAAAUCCAGAAAGUGGAUGACAUAUGUUGAACUAGUGAUGGAAGUAGAACAGGGUAGUGUAUUUUCUGCCUCUUAAUUCUUCAUUUUUUACACUAAACCAGAUAUUAGGUAUAUGACUAGGAAGAUACGUGAGGUAAGGAGCAGAGGGUUUGGCUCCAAACUCAUCAUGUAGUCAUCCUCCUCCAAGCUCUGAGAGCUUCUCUCACAUGUUAAUUCAGAGGCAGUAACAAAAGAAUUAAUGCUCCUGAAGGUUUCUCAAUUUUAUCAUCUGGAAAGUGGAGUGAACCUUUGCAGAGUCCUUCUGAAGAGGGCUGACCUUGGACUGCACUAGGUUAUAUUCAUUUGCUAUUACUCAGCAAUAAAAAGUAAAUGCAACAAUAUAAAUGAAUCUUAAAAACAUAAUAUGGAAAGAAAGCAGCCAGACACAAAAGAAUACCUCCUGUUUGGUUUCAUUACCAUAAAACCUAGAACAGACAAAUGAAUAUACUAUGAUUUUAAAAAGAUCAUUAUGAUCAGAAAGCACUUGCCUGUUACAGGAAGGAGAUGGGGAUUGACUGGAAAGGGGCAUGAGAAAACUGUAUGAAAUAUUAUAUAUGGUUUAUAUCUUGUUUGGGGGUGGAUACAUAGCUGUGUAUAAUUGUCAACAGUCAUUGAACUGAGCACUUAAAAUCUCUGCAUUUUAGUGUAUGUAAAUUAAUUUUUAAAAUUAUUUUAAAAGAAAAGUAAAAGGAUAGAAAAAGAUAUACCAUGAAAACAGCAAUCAUACAGAGUUGGGGCAGCUAUACUAAUACUAGAUAAAAUAGUCUGUAAGACAAAAACUUAUUAGAGAUGAAGAGGGACAUUUUAAGUGAUGACAAUUUAUUCAAUAAGGAAGAUGUAACAAGAAUAACAAGUAUGUAUGUACCUAAUAACAAAAUCCCAAAAUACGUAAAGCAACAACUGACAAAAUUGAAGGGAAAGAUAGACAAUUCAACAAUAAUAGUUGAGGACUGGAAUACCUCACUUCCAACAAUAAAGAGAAAAACUGGGCAGAAAACCAACUGGGAUACAGAGACUUGAAAAACAUUGUAAACCAAGUAGAAUCAACACACAUCUAUAGAAAACUCCACCCAACAACAGCAGAAAAUACAUUCUUCUGAAGUGCAUACGGAACAUUCCACAGAAAUAUAUGAUGUGCUAGGCCAUAAAAUAAGCCACAAUAGAUAAUAAAAGACUGAAAUCAUGUAAAUUAGGCUCUAUGCCCACAGAUUUAGAAAUCAAUAACUAAAAGAAAUGUGGGGAAUACACAAAUAUGUGGAAAUUAAGCAACACGUUCAUAAAUAACCAAUAGGUCAAGGGAAAAAAAUAUCACAAGGAAAAUUAGAAGAUACUUGAGAUGAAUGAAAAUAAAAAUACAGCAUACAAAAAAAACCAUGGGAGGAAGUUAAAGCAGCAUUAGAGCUAAAUUUAUAGCAAUAAAUGCUUAUUUCUUUAAAAAAUAUCUCUAAUAAUCUAACCUUUCAAUUUAUGAAACUAUAAAAGAACAAAUGAAACUGAAAGCAAGCAAAAAGGAGAAAAUAAUAAAAUUUCAGUAGAAAUAAAUGAAAUAAAAAAUAAAAUACAUAAAGCAACAGUUGGUUCUUGAACAAAAUUGACAAAUCUUUAGCGAAACUUUAGCAAAAAAGAAGGAGGACUCAAAUUACUCACAUCAGGCAAGAAAGAAGAAACUUGACUACUAACUUUACAGAUAAAAAGAAUUCAAGGGGGAUAAAACGUAAAAAAAAAAAACCUCUAUUGCUAACAAAUUAAAUAAACUAUAUGAUAUGGACAAAUCCCUAGAAAGACACAAAUUAUUGAAACUAACUCAAGAAAUAGAAAAUCUAAAUAGACCUAUAACAGGUAAAAAGAUUGAAUUAGUAAAUAAAAACUUCCCACAAAGAAAGAUUCAGGCCUAGAUGGCUUCCACUGGUAAAUUCUCCCAAAUAUUUAAAGAAGAAUUAAUACCAAUUGUUUAUAAACUCUUUUAGAAAAUAGAAGAAAGGGGAACUCAUUCUAUGAGUUCACUAUUACCCUGAUACCAAUGCCAGACAAAGGCAUGAGAAAAAGAGAACUGCACACCUUUAUGCAUCCCUAUCCUUUAUGAAUAUAGAUGCAAAACUCCAAGAUGAAUCCUGAAACAAAUAAAAAAUUGUACCACAACUAAGAAAGAUUUCUUCCAAGAAUUCAAGAUUGGUUUAACAUCUGAAAAUCAAUUUAUAUAAUAUGCCACAACAAUAAAGAAAAAAAUCACAAUUACUUCAAUAGAUGCAUAAAAUAAUGGAUAAACUCCAACACUCAUGAUUAAACAAAAAAAGAAGAAAACGCUUAAACCAGGAACAAAAAUUAACUUCCUCAAACUACCAGAAACUUACAGCUAACAUCAUACUAAAUUGUAAAGAAUCAAAUGGUCUUCUUUCACUCUCAGAUGUGAAAAUCUCCUAUGUAGAAAAUCCCAAGGUAUCGACAAAAAACAAAAAAAAAAGCUAUUAGAACUAAUAAAUGGGUUCAGCAAGUUUGCUGGAUACAAGAUCAGUAUAGAAAAAUCGAUUGCAUUUCUAUAUAUUAACAAUGAAAAACCAAAAUAAAAUUAAGAAAAUUCUAUUUAUAAAUAACAUCAAAAGGAAUAAAAUUUUUAGGAAUAGAUUUAACAAUUUAAGUAUAAAAUGUAUAUGCUAAAAACUACAAAACACUGUUGAGUGAUACUGAAGAUUAAAAUAAAUGGAAAGAUACACCAUGCUUAUGAAUUGGAGGAUUUAAUAUCGUUAAGAUGGCAAUACUUCCCAUAUUAAUGUACAAACUUAAUGCAAUUCUUAACAAAACUCUUCUGGUGUUUUUACAGAAAUUCACAAGGUGACCCUAACAUGUAUAUAAAAAUGCAAGGGAUCCAGAAUCACUAUAACAAUCUUGAAAAAGAAUAACAAAGUUGAUGGAUUCACACUUCCCAAUUCCAGAACAUACUACAAAGCGACAGUAAUCAUAAUGGUGUGGUACUGGUAUAGGGAUAAACAUAUUAAUCAACAGAAUAGAAUUAAGAGUCCAGUAAAUCCUCACAUUUAUGUUCAAUCGAUUUUCAGUAAAUAGGCAAGACAAUUCAGUGGGCAAAGAAUAAUCUUUAACAAAUAGUGCUGGACAACUGAAUAUCACAUGCAAAAGAAUGAAUUUGCACCCUGACUUCACAAUAGACACAAAUUAACUCAAAGUGUAUUAUAGAUCUAAAUGUAAGAGCUAAAUUACAAAACUCUUUUCAAAACAACUACAAAAUUCAAUCUUCAUGAUCUCGGAUUAGGGAAUGACUCUUCAAAUUAGACACCUAAAGCACAGGUGAUAAAAGAUGGCUAGGUUGGACUUCAUCAAAAUCAAAAACUUUUCUGCUUCAAGGGAUAUUUUUAAGAAAGUAAAAAGAUAACCCUACAGACUGAGAGAAAAAUUUUGAAAAUUGCAUAUUUAGUAAGAUACUUACACCCAAAAUAUAUACAGAACUCUUACAACUCAAUAAAGACAAACAGCCCAUUUUUUUCCAUGAGCAAAUGAUUUAAAUAGAAAUUUCUCCAAAGAAGACAUAUGAAUGGCCAACCAAUAAGCACGUGAAAAAUGUCAAUAUCAAUAGCUAUCAGGGAAAUGCAAAUCAAAAUCACAAAGAAACCAGGGCAGAGUGCCAGAUGCUCCGUACCUUGAAAAGGUUCAAGGAAACUUGAAAGAUCAGAUGACAUUUUUAGUGUAAUCUACAAGUCACUCUUCAAAUGACUUGAAGAUGACUACCUGAAUAUAUACAAUAAAAGUUGGAAAUAUUCAUAGAUAAUAUAAAAUUGAGACAAAAAAGGUCUAGAAAGACUGCAAUGUCAAGAUAUGUAUCAUCAAUUCCUGUACGCUACAGUUAAAUUUUGUUCUGAGUUUUCUGGUGCCAAGAAAAUAGGAAAGGGGUGGGCAAUACAGUAAGAUACAAAGAAAGCUUUUAUUUCAUGACACUUAAUUCUAAAAGAAUAAUCAGGUGAUAUGAAGCCAAUUUCUACAGAUAUGGUCUCUGUCCUCCAAGAGCUCAUAACUCAGAGAAAAAUAAAUAUGCAAAUGAUUAAAAUCAGUGAGGUAACUGCUAUGAAGGACGUAUGUACAAGCUAUACUGGAGGCAUAAGAGAGAGAGUUACCAUUCAGAUGAGGUGGACUCAUGCUCUGAUGUGGUAACAUAUGAGGUAGAUUGGGUAGGAAGGUAAGGCCAGUAGAGGGUGGGAGAACAUUCCAAGCAUCUGCAGAGAUUAAAAUUACCUAAGACGUUUGAGAAAUUGUAAGUGGUCUGAUAUGGCUGCAGUACUGGAUGUGAAGAUAAAAUUAAUGAUAGCUGAGGGUGGCAGGAAAGCUGGGAUCUUGCCAUGUAUAGCCUUAUAUGUCAUGCCAAGGACUUUGGACUUUAACCUGUAGGCAAGGGGAACCAUUGACUGGCAAGCCCUGAGUAGAGAGUCUAGGCCUUAUAAUGGGAAGUUAGUUUCCAGAGAUAACCUAAAGAAUUCCUGCCUUUAGGUUUAAUUCCAAAAGGGUAGUAAUCCACAACCUAGCACUCCAUAACAGUGAUUUAUAUUGGAAUUACUCUCCAAAUUGGAAGAUAUGGUUAAUCUGGGAUUAUAGGACGUGUAAGCUCAAAGUAAUUUCCAUUGUAACUCGUAUAGCUUUCUACUCAGCCCAUGACAUUCCUACCUGGUUCCAGUUCUUGCAAUUCAAAGAGAACAGGUCAAUGUCAGUGUUAACAUGUGGGUAUGAAAACAGCAAGUACCCGCAUAUGAAUUGGAACUGGGCUCACUGAAGAAAGCAUGUAAUUGGAGUGGGAAUAAAAGCAUCCAACUAUUAUACUUGUGUGUGUACACACACACAUUAGAUAUACUGCUACAGAUAUAGAUAGAUGCCAGGUGUGCUGGUCACUUUGCGAAUCUCAUCACACUUUACCUUCAUGACAAUCCAGAAAGGUAAGUACUAAUCCCACUUCACAGAUCAAGACUAUUCUUACUUACAGAAGUUAACAGUGCUCUCUCACUGGCUGGAUUGGCAUGGAUGCCUAUUUUUGAUAGUAUUUCUAAUCCUUACCACUGAAAGCAUUGGAAUGACACUUCAUGUAUUUUUUUCAGUAGAGAAGUAAUAGAAACUAUUCCCCUUAAAUGGCAGAUGUGAUAUCUCAAGCACAAAAGCUUGGGUGACUCACUCAAGUCAAUAACAACUGUAGGACAGGAGCAUUUCCAGUUGGCCCCGUAUUCCUUCUACUUAGUCUUUUUUGUUCUCAUGUAAAUACAAAGUCAUAAAUUUGUGGGGGUUCAUAUUGGCUUUGUUCCUUUUCCCAUCUAGUUACCACAAGAGACCUUUCACUCUCCCUAGUGACACCAUUCAACCUCUACAUAACCCUACAACAAAUACCCACUUCACUACCAUAUCACAUGGCCAGACCAGUGGUCUUUUCCUUUAAUGUUACAUAGAAUAAUAUUAUUUCUCCAUCAAUUAACUCUGAUUGGAAUCAUGAUUAUCACUAGUUUUAUUCUUCAGGCUUGAUAGAGUACCAGCUGUGUCCAACAAAUGUAACAACAGUGGCUUCCAGCCAAGUGCAACUGAGGUUUUUACAAGAAUAGAUACUUCGUGUAUUCUAAUGACAAAAGCACAUAAAUGAGGACUAAUAUUCUGUCUGUGGCAGAGAGAAAAUCCUCUUGACUUUGAAGAGGUUCAAAGGCCCACACACACAGAAAACUGAGUGCUCUGUCAUGCUAUCUGGAUCAAGGGACUCCCCCAAGGGGCCGGCAUCCCGGCCUUAGAAAGAUGUCUGGGCCCUCAUCACUGAGGCCUUUGAAACCUUGUACCAGAAACCCCCAGGGGUGCCUCUCCAGCCUGCUCCCCUGGAACUUCUCAGGUACCCAUGACACAGCCAGAUAACCAGCCAGUUGUCACCUACCAUCUAGGACAGUCUCUUACUCCUACCUGUCCAUGCAUGCUCACUAAACUUGCCCUGCAGCAGAAGUAUGAAUGACUCUUUAUUAAAAUAGACAGGAAAAACAAUAGUGUCUCAUCUCACACCUGCACUAGGAAAAAAUCCUCUGUCUUCCUCUCUCCCUUCUGGGCCCACUCCCUCCAAGUCAUCUCAGAGCUGCUGCCAGCAGCAUGUAAAAUAUGAAUCUGACUUUUUGACCCAUCUGAUUAAAAACUGAAGUUGGAGCACCUCUGGCAGCAGAUUGAAGUCCAAACCCCUUCAAAAAGUAUUCAAGGGCCUUCACAACCUGAUUUCAACAAUAUCCUGAACAGUUUUCCCAUACACUGGAGCUCUGGCCUUCCCAGGUAACUCACUACCCCCUGAAGAUGUUGUACAUUUUCAUUAUAUAUGAUUUUUGUUACUAUUCAAUUUAUCUAGAAUACAUCACAUCCCCUAUCUCACCUCACUCACCUGACAAACUCCCAAUCAUUCUUUGAGAACUAGCUAAAAUGUUCUCACCCCUCUAAUGCUUUCCCUGACCAUCCCAGGCCAAAUUAACCAGUCCUUCCUCUGUGACUCUGCCUAUUGCACUUAUUCUGAUUUUCCCAGCUCAACAGAUGACAGAGCCAAGACUCAAACCCUGGCCUUCUGACUCCAAGUUCUAAGGUCUUUACUUAACCCCUUGCCUACUGUGCAAUAUUACAAAUGGAAUCAUGCGUCAAUUCUGAAUCCCGACUGGCAGGCCAAUUGUGGGUAGUCAGUAAACUUACAGUGGAUGAAUGAAUGAACAACAACCUGAAGGAAGCUUCUACUAUCCCCACCCACCCCCCACCACACACACACACACACACACACACACACACACACAGAGUUUAUUCUUCGAACUGGAAUUUGUAAAGACAGCUUGGUUUCCCAGAUGCAUCCAACUCAUCAGGUACUACAAAUUCUGUAACCAGGCCCCAAUUUAGGGAUACUACAACUAUGCAUCAUGUAAUCAUGUAGGUCCUCCAGUGAUACUCAUCUUGCUCAUUUGGCCAUGGAUAAAGGAGAAAAGAGAGAGAAGUUCCCUUUCAGCACCCUAACACAUCUCUUAAUACAGCCUCUAAGUCUUUGAGUCCUCCAGGAGCCAGCAGCCAAGUCCAAACUAAAAGCAUCACAUGUUGUUUUGGAGAAAGAAGCCAGGGUGUCCACAGUAAUAUAAAUACAGAGACAGAUAGGACGAGCAGGCCCUAUGGAGAGAGGCCAAGCCUGAGAAAGUCAAAGGGCUUUGAGCUCUGAAUUAUGCUCUGUCAAAGAAAAAAAAAAGUAGAAGAUAAAAGAGAAAGAAUAAACAAACUUCUUCAUUUUUACUUUUCACAAAAAAGUCUCUUCUGGAAGCAGCAAAUAAAAUCUUCCCAACUCACUGGGUGCUGAGUAGAGUGUUAAGACACUAGCCCUUGAAGGAAGAAUGAAUAAGCAAUUCAAAGUGGGCUUUUCUGCCCUAGGCUAAAUCUGAAAUCAUCCAUUUUGCCAGCAGUAUUCUGUCUGCCAACCUACCUGCAAAGAAAGGGGCCAUUUAAAACUUCACAUCCACCCGAGAUGGCUGUUGUACAAAACACACACUCACAGGCUCCCCUCAAAGCCUAGUAAGGAAGAAGGAAGAAGGAAAAAGCAAAGGAAAUAUCUGGCAGCUCCUAGACUUUAGGAAUUCCACAAACAAAGCCAUUGCCAACAUCUAUUUGACAGGAUGUAUAGAGAGUUCAUAAAGUAAGUGUUUAUAGAAAUUCCAAAAUGUUUAAAACUAUCUCUUGAUUUUUGAAGGUCACUGUAAUCUAGUCUAUUGGAGAAUGCUAUUGUAGAGUCUUUGGCUAUUGUUACUUAUACCUGCAUAUAUGAAAUCACCACUCCUAAAAACCACGAAUUAGAAGGCUGAUUUGUUUAAAGAAAUACUGUUGUCCAUGAUGGAAGAAGGAUGCUAACUCACAGAGAGAAUGAUGCUGCCUGUGGAACAGAGUCGGAGCUGGCUUUUAUGGAACCUAUUGUCACUUUGAUUAUACACUGUCUAGGACAGGACUGAGGCCCACAUAAUACCAAGCAUACCACAAAUACAAAAAGUGGCAUAGAGGGAAAAAGAGGUCAAAUUAAACAUCAAGGUAGCUAAAAGGAAAAUUGUGUCCGCUGCUCUAAUAUCACAAUCCCAAGGAGAACUGCAGACAUUUGUCCUCGAGUUCCUCAGGUUGCCAGUAAUGAUGUUUCUGGUGAUCUGGCUCAGAAGGCUGAGCUGAUGAGUGAUCACUCAGAAAUACUGAAUCAGGCAAUGGAAAUUCUGAAUCGGUGGGCUCUGGAGAAGGAACUGAGGGCGAGGUGACUCGGGGCCGGAGGGCUAUUAUGGACUAUGGACAAGCUGAAGGCAUGGGAAGCCUGACCAGUAGAUAGAGGAAUAUGAACUUGGUGGACAGGGAAAAGCAGGGACGUCAUGAACGAAAGACCACAGACCCUCUGUUCUAGUCCAUGGGGCCAGGCUGUGCUCCACUGCCUACUCUUGGAUUCCCCAAAGAAUGCUUUAUGUCCUUAUAAUAAAUCCACCUUUCCAUGGACAAAAAUGAGUGUGUCUCUGUGUCUUCAAACCUGAGAGCUAAAACCAAAAAACAUAACUUAUGAUGCUGUAGAAGAAACUUCUACCCCUUUGUACGCAUGGAGAUGUUUCCCAAAUCUACACAAUGAUAGAAAUAACUUGCUGCGUUAAAAAGUA